rfam:Oryza brachyantha chromosome 8, whole genome shotgun sequence.
UUUUCGUUUUUUCCGUGUCCAACGUUUGAUCAUUUGUCUUAUUUGAAAAUUUUAUAAAAAACUUUAAAAAAUUAGUCUAGUAUAAACUACUAUUUAUAUUUUAUCAUCUAGUAAAAUAAAAAUAUUAAUCGUAAAAAAAUUUCAAAUAGGACGAAUGGUCAAGCGUUAAACGCGGAAAAACGG